CACGCCAGUAAAUCUCCAGGGGGACACUGAGAGAGUUUGUCUGCAGCCAUCAUCUGCACAUUCAGGUGCUUGCUCUGAGACUUCCCCCUGGAUUUGAUCAGCCUCUGGAGCACCUGAGAGAAAGGGCAGUCUGGAUGCUACAGUGAAUUGCUCUUCAAAAGUGAUGAGACGAGAAGGGACUGCCAGGCCAGGGCUAGCUGUAAGUGAUUUGACUGAGGGAGGCAGCUCUUGGCGAGUCAAGGAAUGAAGCUUGAUGCUGUGAAGUCACAACAUCUCUUCUACUGAGUAUUUCUACGCUGUAGUGAUUCACCCAACACUGUCUGCAACCCAAAGGUGUUCAGUGAGUUUACAAUCAUUUAUCACAAAGAAAAGCUGCAUUUGAGACAUUUGGGAAGCUCAGGUACUUUUUACUUUUUUUUUUAACUUGGAAAAUGACUUGAAAAUGUAAUAGUUUUCUGUCUCUAAUCGUUAAUCAGCUACUUCAUGUUGUCAGUGUUGUGAUGUGUGUGUGUUUGUGUAUGUUUUUAAUGUUUGAGCCAAAGACAAUUUUCCACCUUGUUAAAUGAAGUUGAAUACUAUUAUGUCCAUUCUGUCCUGUUCUACUCUGAUUGUUUCAGCUCUAGAUUAAUAAGUCAGGAUUGAUACUGUUCUUCAAAAGGUGUUUAAGCCAGCAGGAAUGUAGAGAGGGCCUAGUAGUUUCUGUCAUUAGUACAUGAGGCUUCUUUUUAGAGCGGAUCUCUGAUUCCUUCCCAACUCCUGACUUUCCCUCUUUGAUGUAUCGAGGCUCGUGAACCUCAGGGAUCUGGUGGUUUGGGAUGAGCUCGGUGAAACUUCACGACUCCUCACAACCUGAUUCCAACCGGGAUCAAGUUCUCCACCUGUGCUGGACUCUCCGAAACCACCUUUUGCUUUUGCACUGGCACCAGAAUCAAAUACAUCUUAAGAAACAACACAUGAAGUUUUAAGUUUAUGGUUUGCCAGAGCUGAAGAGGGGACGACCAUACGAUGGAGAUGGAGUAGACCACAGCAACCAGGAAUAUGGUGGAGCCUAUGGCAGAGAAAACCUUGGAGUGUCCAAGAAAAGUUUCUUACCCUUCAGCGUAUAUUCUAAGAAGAUCCUUUUGAACACCAAUUAAAAGCAGUGCAGUGAAGGACCUUGCCAGAGGUGAGUAGAGUGGCCAAAAAGUGUCCUCAAGUAAAUGUAUUGUUAGUUUAUAAAAAUUAGAAAAAAUUAUAAACUUGAGUAGUGGUAAAAGUAGUGAUUGAAUAAGAGGACUACAGUUUCUACUGGAAACAUCUUGAGUGGUGUACAAAUUCAUGAGUAAGAGAAAAAAAGGAAAGAAAAUGUUAAGAGAUAAACAUACACCUGUACUUGUAGUCAUUGUAAAUGUCCUAUCCUCAUU